AUUUGUAUAGUAUAAAAUAUUACUUUUAUCUUCCAAAUAAAUAAUUUCAUUAUAAAAUGAAUACAAAUA
rnacentral:tRNA from 1 species